UACAGAGGUGGCGAGCGUUAUUCGGAAUUAUUGGGCGUAAAGAGCGUGUAGGCGGCCAGGUAGGUCUGCUGUGAAAACUCGAGGCUUAACCUCGAGCUGUCGGCGGAAACCAUCUGGCUAGAGUCCGGAAGAGGAGAGUGGAAUUCCUGGUGUAGCGGUGAAAUGCGCAGAUAUCAGGAAGAACACCCGUGGCGAAGGCGGCUCUCUGGGACGUGACUGACGCUGAGACGCGAAAGCGUGGGGAGCGAACAGG
rnacentral:rRNA from 1 species